AAGGGAGACCUAAUUCAGGUAGGAGACGAAAAAAAAGUAGUCCCAACCAAGAAUCAAUCCCAAAAGGUCGGAGCGAGGUAUGAGGCUUUCAAACUAGGUUCUGGGUUCAUAAAAGGCCUGAAUCAGGAACAAGGGCUAUUAGCUCAGGUGGUUAGAGCGCACCCCUGAUAAGGGUGAGGUCCCUGGUUCGAGUCCAGGAUGGCCCACCUGCACAGGUGGCAAAAACAAAGAAAAGAAGCUCCGAAUCAGCACCUUAUCUUACUUAUAUAGUAAGAGAGAAUGCUGGCUCUGAGUUCAGAGUCCAGAGGAACCUUGAAAACUGCAUAGAGCUAGGUGAAAAAGCCAAAAAAGAAGACCGCAA
rnacentral:tRNA from 1 species